UACGUAGGGGGCAAGCGUUGUCCGGAAUCAUUGGGCGUAAAGAGCGUGUAGGCGGCCAGAAAAGUCCGCUGUGAAAACUCGAGGCUCAACUUCGAGCUGUCGGUGGAAACUUUCUGGCUAGAGUCCGGAAGAGGAGAAUGGAAUUCCUGGUGUAGCGGUGAAAUGCGUAGAUAUCGGGAGGAACACCAGUGGCGAAGGCGACUACCUGGCCUGUUCUUGACGCUGAGGCGCGAAAGCUAGGGGAGCAAACGGG
rnacentral:rRNA from 1 species